AGCGAACGCUGGCGGCAGGCCUAACACAUGCAAGUCGAACGAAGUCUUCGGACUUAGUGGCGGACGGGUGAGUAACGCGUGGGAACGUACCUUUUGGUUCGGAACAACUCAGGGAAACUUGAGCUAAUACCGGAUGAGCCCUUAGGGGGAAAGAUUUAUCGCCGAAAGAGCGGCCCGCGUUAGAUUAGCUAGUUGGUGAGGUAAAGGCUCACCAAGGCUACGAUCUAUAGCUGGUCUGAGAGGAUGAUCAGCCACACUGGGACUGAGACACGGCCCAGACUCCUACGGGAGGCAGCAGUGGGGAAUCUUGCGCAAUGGGCGAAAGCCUGACGCAGCCAUGCCGCGUGAAUGAUGAAGGUCUUAGGAUUGUAAAAUUCUUUUACCAGGGACGAUAAUGACGGUACCUGGAGAAAAAGCCCCGGCUAACUUCGUGCCAGCCGCCGCGGUAAGAC
rnacentral:rRNA from 1 species